UACGUAGGUGGCAAGCGUUGUCCGGAGUUAUUGGGCCUAAAGCAUCCGUAGCCGGUCCUGCAAGUCUUCCGUUAAAUCCAGCUGCUCAACAGAUGGGCUGCGGGGGAUACUACAGGGCUAGGAGGCGGGAGAGGCAAGCGGUACUUUAUGGGUAGGGGUAAAAUCCGUUGAUCCAUAGAAGACCACCAGUGGCGAAGGCGGCUUGCCAGAACGCGCUCGACGGUGAGGGAUGAAAGCUGGGGGAGCAAACCGG
rnacentral:rRNA from 1 species